rnacentral:rRNA from 1 species
AGGAUGAACGCUGGCGGCACGCCUAACACAUGCAAGUCGAGCGCCCAGCAAUGGGAGCGGCGGACGGGUGAGUAACACGUGGGAAUAUGCCUUUCGGUACGGAACAACUCAGGGAAACUUGAGCUAAUGCCGUAUACGCCCUUACGGGGAAAGAUUUAUCGCCGAAAGAUUAGCCCGCGUCUGAUUAGCUAGUUGGUGAGGUAAUGGCUCACCAAGGCUUCGAUCAGUAGCUGGUUUGAGAGAACGACCAGCCACACUGGGACUGAGACACGGUCCAGACUCCUACGGGAGGCAGCAGUGGGGAAUCUUGGACAAUGGGGGAAACCCUGAUCCAGCGAUGCCGCGUGAGUGAUGAAGGCCUUCGGGUUGUAAAACUCUUUCGACGGGGACGAUAAUGACGGUACCCGUAGAAGAAGCUCCGGCUAACUUCGUGCCAGCAGCCGC